rnacentral:ncRNA from 1 species
GUAAAUUUCUUGUAUAAGCCCGCUGAUACGGUGCGGGCGUUUCUACAGGCAGCCGUAAACUGUCACAGUCUACAAGAGAUGAGGUUU